GACGAACGCUGGCGGCGUGCUUAACACAUGCAAGUCGAACGGAAAGGCCCUGCUUUUGUGGGGUGCUCGAGUGGCGAACGGGUGAGUAACACGUGAGUAACCUGCCCUUGACUUUGGGAUAACUUCAGGAAACUGGGGCUAAUACCGGAUAGGAGCUCCUGCUGCAUGGUGGGGGUUGGAAAGUUUCGGCGGUUGGGGAUGGACUCGCGGCUUAUCAGCUUGUUGGUGGGGUAGUGGCUUACCAAGGCUUUGACGGGUAGCCGGCCUGAGAGGGUGACCGGCCACAUUGGGACUGAGAUACGGCCCAGAGUCAUACGGGAGGAAGCAGUGGGGAAUAUUGCACAAUGGGCGGAAGACUGAUGCAGCAACGCCGCGUGCGGGAUGACGGCCUUCGGGGUGUAAACCGCUUUCGCCUGUGACGAAGCGUGAGUGACGGUAAUGGGUAAAGAAGCACCGGCUAACUACGUG
rnacentral:rRNA from 1 species